UGGCGGACGGGUGAGUAACGCGUGGAUAACCUGCCUUAUACAGGGGGAUAACAGGGAGAAAUUCUUGCUAAUACCCCAUAGGUAUGUCUGACGCAUGUUGGACAUAUUAAAGCUUUGGCGGUAUAAGAUGGGUCCGCGUCUGAUUAGCUAGUUGGUGGGUAAAGGCCCACCAAGGCGACGAUCAGUAGCCGGCUUGAGAGAGUGGACGGCCACAUUGGGACUGAGACACGGCCCAAACUCCUACGGGAGGCAGCAGUGGGGAAUAUUGCACAAUGGGGGAAACCCUGAUGCAGCGACGCCGCGUGAAGGAAGAAGGUCUUCGGAUCGUAAACUUCUAUCAGCAGGGAAGAAGGAAGUGACAGUACCUGAGUAAGAAGCCCCGGCUAACUACGUGCCAGCAGCCGCGGUAAUACGUAGGGGGCGAGCGUUAUCCGGAAUUACUGGGUGUA
rnacentral:rRNA from 1 species